rnacentral:misc_RNA from 1 species
ACGAGCCUGUUGCAGGGACCGUGCAGAUCCGUGGCCGAAUUUCACCGAUGUUUGAUAUCGGCCUUGGCAUCGACAGCGAUUUGAGCGGCUACGACAACAUUCGGAUGCGCGGUUUGUUGCUCGGCCUUUCGUCAAGGGAAAUCGAGCGUCUGUUACCCGAUUCUGGAUUUUACCGAGCUUGGCGAUUACCUCGACAUGCCGGUGCGGACUUAUUCUUCCGGAAUGACUCUGCGGUUGACGUUCGCGGU